rnacentral:rRNA from 1 species
UACGUAGGGUGCGAGCGUUAAUCGGAAUUACUGGGCGUAAAGCGUGCGUAGGCGGUUUGCCGUGUCCUGUGUGAAAGCCGCGGGCUCAACCUGGGAAUUGCAUGGGAAACUGGCAGGCUUGAGUGUGGCAGAGGAGGGUGGAAUUCCGCGUGUAGCAGUGAAAUGCGUAGAGAUGCGGAGGAACACCGAUGGCGAAGGCAGCCCUCUGGGCCAACACUGACGCUGAAGCACGAAAGCGUGGGGAGCAAACAGG